UACGGAAGGGGCAAGCGUUGUUCGGAAUCAUUGGGCGUAAAGGGUGCGUAGGCGGGUCUUUUAAGUCAGGGGUGAAAUCCUGGAGCUCAACUCCAGAACUGCCUUUGAUACUGAGGAUCUUGAGUUCGGGAGAGGUGAGUGGAACUGCGAGUGUAGAGGUGAAAUUCGUAGAUAUUCGCAAGAACACCAGUGGCGAAGGCGGCUCACUGGCCCGAUACUGACGCUGAGGCACGAAAGCGUGGGGGAGCAAACGGG
rnacentral:rRNA from 1 species